GACGUAGGGGGCCAGCGUUGCUCGGAAUUACUGGGCGUAAAGGGUCCGUAGGCGGUGCGGUAAGUCGGGAGUGAAAUCUCUGGGCUUAACUCAGAGGCUGCUUCCGAAACUACCGUGCUAGAGUGCGAGAGAGGCAAGUGGAAUUGCGGGUGUAGCGGUGAAAUUCGUAGAUAUUCGCAAGAACACCAGUGGCGAAGGCGGCUCACUGGCCCGAUACUGACGCUGAGGCACGAAAGCGUGGGGAGCAAACAGG
rnacentral:rRNA from 1 species